rnacentral:lncRNA from 1 species
UAACCAACUCAGUGUGACAACCAAUGACAUUUGGUUUAGGCUAGGAGUUGAAGUUGCUUCAUGCAUGCUGGGGUGAAAGGUAAGAACUGAGAACGGGUGUUGCAGAAAUGCUUGGUCAAUUGUCAUAGGAUAGGAUAGUAAUUAGUGUUGUUGGUUUCCGUCUUUGCGUUUUUGACAUGUGAUUAUUUGAUUUGUUGUAGGUGAACCAAGUUACCUAGUAUUCAGGUGAGGAAUGGAGGCAGGGGAAGAGCAUUUAAAAAUUCCUGGUUCUCCUUAUAUUGCAUCGGGCAUGACAUAAGAUUUAAAGAGUUUAUAAUGCGCAUUCGUGCAUAAAUACCAAAGAUAAGCCCAUUGUCAUUGUGGGUUGAAAUUGAAUAAAGCAUAUUUGAAGAUGAAUAAUUAAUUUAAUAGACUUGUGUAGAAUCAUCUUUUGGAUUUUGCACAUUUUCUUGACAGACAAAUUAGUAUUCCUUUUCUUUGCAGGUGCUCCAAAAACACCUGCAUCAUGUUAUGACCACACCUAUUUGUCCUUUUUCUUUGGCUUCAUGUAUUGUGGGAGCUCCCCCAAUCCAGGAAGCACUAAUUAGUGGUAGGUGGUAAAUUUUUUCCCGACGAUCUUGGAAAUCCUUCAAUCACAUCCAUUCAUCGUACAUAAUAAGAUAAA